CCUACGGGGGGCAGUAGUGAGGAAUAUUGGUCAAUGGACGAGAGUCUGAACCAGCCAAGUAGCGUGAAGGAUGACUGCCCUAUGGGUUGUAAACUUCUUUUAUAUGGGAAUAAAAUGUUCCACGUGUGGGAUUUUGUAUGUACCAUAUGAAUAAGGAUCGGCUAACUCCGUGCCAGCAGCCGCGGUAAUACGGAGGAUCCGAGCGUUAUCCGGAUUUAUUGGGUUUAAAGGGAGCGUAGGUGGAUUGUUAAGUCAGUUGUGAAAGUUUGCGGCUCAACCGUAAAAUUGCAGUUGAAACUGGCAGUCUUGAGUACAGUAGAGGUGGGCGGAAUUCGUGGUGUAGCGGUGAAAUGCUUAGAUAUCACGAAGAACUCCGAUUGCGAAGGCAGUUCACUGGACUGCAACUGACACUGAGGCUCGAAAGUGUGGGUAUCAAACAGGAUUAGAUACCCGGGUAGUC
rnacentral:rRNA from 1 species